AGAGUUUCUGAUUUGUAGCCCUGAGACACAGCUUCUUGUACUCUGUGAAUCCAGACCCCACAGGUUAUGGAAGAAAAGCAACAGACAGAAGAUGGGAAAAACAGGUCACGUUUAUAAGACCAGCUUGAAGACCAUGCCACACUGAGGAGUUUGGUUUUUCGUUAGGCAAAGAAACUAGCUGUUUUUUCUUCAAUGUUCAUCGGAAAACUUGCCCAGCAGCUGUGAGUGACUCUUCAGCUUUCGAAUCAUUGUCUUGGAAUCUUCUAAACCAGGACUUUAAAAAAUACUGUAACGGUUAAUAUUGAGUGUCAACUUGAUUGGAUUGAAGGAUGCAAAGUAUUGUUCCUGGGUGUGUCUGUGAGGGUGUUGCCAAAGGAGAUUAACAUUCCAGUCAGUGGACUGGGAAAGGCAGACCCACCCUCAAUCUGGGUGGGCACCAUCUAAUCAGCUGCCAGUGUGGCCAGAAUAAAGCAGGAAAAUGUGGAAGGACUUGACUUGCUGAGUCUUCUGGUCUUCAGCUUUCUCCCAUGCUGGAUGCUUCCUGCCUUAGAGCAUUGGACUCCAGGUCUUCAGCUUUUGGACUCUCGGACUUACACCAGUGGUUUGCCAGGGGCUCUCAGGCCUUUGGACACAGACUGAAGGCUGCACUGUCGGCUUCCCUACUUUUGAGGUUUUGGGCUUCCCUACUCCUCAGCUUGCAGAUGGCCUAUUGUGGAACUUUACCCUGUGAUCAUGUGAGUCAAUACAUUUUAAUAAACUUCCCAUCAUA
rnacentral:lncRNA from 1 species